rnacentral:rRNA from 1 species
UACGUAGGGGGCAAGCGUUGUCCGGAAUUAUUGGGCGUAAAGAGCGCGUAGGCGGUCCGACAAGUCGGCUGUGAAAGUCAGGGGCUCAACCCUUGAAAGCCGGCCGAUACUGUCGGACUAGAGUCCGGAAGAGGCAAGUGGAAUUCCCGGUGUAGCGGUGAAAUGCGCAGAUAUCGGGAGGAACACCAAUGGCGAAGGCAGCUUGCUGGGACGGUACUGACGCUGAGGCGCGAAAGCGUGGGGAGCAAACAGG